rnacentral:lncRNA from 1 species
GGCAGUGUUUGACUCAGACAAGGCAGAUGCAAUCCCAGGGACACCCCAGGGACGGCUGCAGCUCUGGGCUAGUGGCUAUGUCAUGCAAGACUCAUGGAAACAAAGGAAUGGCUCUGUGCUCCAAGGCAAUGAAACAAAGUCUUUCACUCCCAUUUGCAGAGCUCACUGACAAACUGCAGGACUCCUUUCCUGGGUGCUGGAGGGAGAAUUUCCCUGGAGCUGGCUACAAGAAGGAAUGUCUGUACAGCCAUAUCUGGUUCUUGAAUAGGUGCCAUAAUCUACUUGGGCUGCCUGAGGUCAACCUUGUUCUGGGCUCUCUGGCUCUCCUGACAGUCUGCUGGAUUUUGGGACCUUGGAGCAGCAUUCCUUGGGCUGUGGGAGAUGUGGGUGAACACAGAUGGCUCUGGGCUGUUGGAGGAGGAAGAAGAGGAUGCUCUGGUGUUUGUAUGGAAAGAGAAUAUGGCAAUGCCCCACAUGAGACCAGCUCCAAUAAAUGCAAAUUCUUUUGGUUUUGUUUUUUCCUUACAAAAGUACCAUAA